rnacentral:misc_RNA from 1 species
GAAACGCGAAAGGUAAUGCGAAUUGCAGAAUCAGUGAGUCAUCGAAUCUUUGAACGCACAUUGCGCCUCUCGGUAUUCCGGGAGGCACGCCUGUUCGAGCGCCAUUACACACCCCAAGCUCGGCUUGAUGUUGGACGCUGUCUGUGAAGAGGACAGGUCUGGAACGCGUGGGCGCCGCCGCCGGACCACGAGCGUAGCAAGACGCAAGUCAAAUCGCUCUGUGGGAUGACUCGGUGGACGGCCGUCUAGAUGCUGGGUAACACCCUUCGUCGACACAACCAUACCCAAAGUUUGGCCUCGGAUCAGGCGGGGAUACCCGCUGAACUUAA